AAGAGUUAUCUACAAAUCAUUUUGGAGAUGGUGCCGGCAACAGAACAAAGUUCCAGUGGAAUUCACACACAGCAAACUGCAAGAUUGCAGGAACUCGUUGAAUUUAUACAAUAUCAGGGAAACAGCUCAGCUUCAGAAUCCUCACCAAUUAGGGAGGCGGCUCCUAUAGAGGGCAUAAUUGAAGAUAUGCAAUCUAGAAUCAAGAGGCUGGAAAGAUGGCAGACCAUCAAUACGGUGUUAUGGACUUUUCUGAUGUCUGCCCUUGUUGGUUAUUCGCUUUACCAAAGAAAACGCCAAUAAACAAUCUUUUGAGUAUUCUGCAAGGUCUUCAACAAUGUAAGCAAGGAAAGGUCGCAUUGCGCUGUAACAAGAUGGGCUUUAAACCUGGCUCCAACAGGUUCACCGGGGUAAUCAUCGGCAAUGUUGAGUCUAAC
rnacentral:misc_RNA from 1 species